rnacentral:rRNA from 1 species
UAGGGAAUCUUCCACAAUGGACGCAAGUCUGAUGGAGCAACGCCGCGUGAGUGAAGAAGGUUUUCGGAUCGUAAAGCUCUGUUGUUGGUGAAGAAGGAUAGAGGCAGUAACUGGUCUUGAUUUGACGGUAAUCAACCAGAAAGUCACGGCUAAAUACGUGCCAGCAGCCGCGGGAAUACGUAGGUGGCAAGCGUUGUCCGGAUUUAUUGGGCGUAAAGCGGGCGCAGGCGGAAUGAUAAGUCUGAUGUGAAAGCCUACGGCUCAACCGUGGAUCUGCAUCGGAAACUGUCAUUCUUGAGUGCAGAAGAGGAGAUUGGAAUUCCAUGUGUAGCGGUGGAAUGCGUAGAUAUAUGGAAGAACACCAGUGGCGAAGGCGGCUCUCUGGUCUGCAACUGACGAUGAGGCUCGAAAGCAUGGGUAGCGAACAGG